rnacentral:lncRNA from 1 species
AAUUCCCCCUGCAGUUUCAAGUGGAUGUGGGAUUCUCCUUCACUUCCAGUCCUAAUCUGUUGUGUAGCGCUGCUGCGUGCUGCUACGCCGCUGCUGCCUUCCAGCCCAGAGGUGGCUGCAUUGCAGUGGUGGGUGAGUGACUCCUGCUUUUGUAUCUAGCUUGUGAAACGCUUUGGGGCCCUGCAGGGCGCUGUGGAGCUGUGGCUAGGGCAUGUCGGGCUGCGGGGCUGGCCGGGGCAAGCUGGGCAGACCCCAGGCUGGUGGUGAUCCCCUGGCAGGUCCUGUCAGCAGCGCAUCUCUCCUCUCUGCUUUCUCCCGGCAGCCGGUGGGGACCACGUCGCUGGAGUGCUGCCCGCUCCCCCCACUAUGCCACGUAAGGCUUUCCUUGCCCCACUCAGCCCAGUAAACCCCUGCAAGCAGGGUCUGAUAUGGUUCUCAUUGCAGAUGCUGGUCACUGCGUCCCAUCCCUUCCCCUCCUGGGUGAGUACCAUACCCAGGCCACUGUGCUCGUGCACCCUGGUUCAGGAGGUAGCUGCAGCUUAUGGACUGUGUCUGCUCUCUUUCCAGGCUCUCACACUGCCCUGAAGCACGAAAGAGCCGAACAAAAAGCUGGUUUUCCUGGUGAGUCGUCUCCAGGGAUGGUAAGAGGAAACCGAGUGCUGUCAGUGGCCGCCGCAGGCCCGGACUCCCCCGGGACGGCUGCCAUGAGUGAGCAGCCAGCAGCGGGUGAAGAGGCAUCAGACACAAGCCUGCACGGCUCCGGCGUGGCAGGCUUGCUCCAGAGCGUCCAGCAGCUGCUGGUGCAGAUCCUGCAGACGUCACGGCAGCAGCAGGCACUGCUGGAAAGCCUGGCCAGCGACACCAUCUCCCACCUCCAUCUCCUCUCCCACAGCCUGGUGCAGGUGGGCGAGACCCUGCACCAGCUCCUGCUCCGGCCACAGACCCACCUUGACCCCCUUGGCCACUACAUCCCCCACAUGCCUCUUUUUGAGGAUGGCCUUGGGUUACCCUGCUCCCCGGACAGUUCCCACACCUCCCCGGAUCACAAAGAGGAGCCUCAGGUGUCCCCUGCCGCCAGCUGCACCCUUCCAUGAGUGCCACCAUCCCCGGCCCCUGGGGCAACGCCAUUGCUACACAGUCACGGCACAAAUCUUUAUAGCAGAGGCCCAGAUAUUUUGGAAGUUUAUAGAAGAGAGACAUUUUAAUAAAAUUAAAAAUAGCUUUUGUACCA